rnacentral:lncRNA from 1 species
AUAACACGGUUUCAACACUCUUGGACAUGAACUAAAAAACAUCUCAGGAGAACAAUAUAAAGUACUCAAACCAAAAAAAUAGGCAUUUAAUGAAUCCAACAAAAUUUAGUAACCACAUGUUAAAAUUUCAUUGCAGUGUAGAAUAAAUUGGUGUCUCGUUUCAGGUUUGAACUAUCAUCCACCAGUUUCAAUAGCUAUCAGCAAAUUAUCAUCCACCCCUCUAGCUUUUCAAGUUUGAACUUAGCUGCGCAGGGGACAAUCAAAAUCAGGUUUGUGCAUCAGCUCUAAAAUGCAGAAAAUAGAACACAAUUCAAAACAAACUGAUAGUACCUUGUUCAUGUGGAUCCACGACGGGGAAGAUGCGUGGGGAAUGGGGGUGGGUUGGCGCCAUCGCUUGUGUCCUUCCUUUUAGAGCAGUAAUGGCGGGCAUGUUGGGUGGAAGGUAGGCAUCGUCGUUGGAAGGUUGCACCAAGGUUGGAAUGGGGCAUGGAUGGGGGCGGACGAGGGCGCUGAUUGGAAGCUUACCGCAUACUAUGGAGGUCAGCUGCCUACUAUGGAAGCUCGAUGGCGGCAAUGGAAAGAAUACCCAUUCGUGUGAUGCUAGCUCGUUGAGGGGAUAGAAGGGGGCGUCGAGUUAGGAAGGCGGGCAUCUGGAGUUAAGGGCAGGCAUGGGCAUUGCACCGGCAGGAUACACGGCGGGCAUGGGGUACGCGAGCAGGGGCAGGAAGGAGAUGAUGGCGGGUGCUGGAAUCGAGCUAGGAAGGAGAUGAGGACGAGCGUGGGCAUCACGCCAGCGGGAUUCACGACGGGAAUGGCGCGCCUUCCAUCGAGAGCGUGGGUGAGCAUCGUGGUGGAGGGGGUGAGUUUCCAUCGGCGAGGAGAGCCGGGACGGGGGCGUGAUCCAUGGUCAGCCGAUGGUGGGCGCAGGCAGCCGUCCAUGGAAGUCCAAGGCGGACGCGCGCAGAUCCGGGUGGGAGAGAGCGGAGAUGGCGGUGAGAGAGGAGAGCGGGGGCGAGAGAAACGGGGCGGGUGCGUGCGGCGAGAGAGAUGGGGCGGGGGCACGCGAAUCACGG